rnacentral:rRNA from 1 species
AAUCAACGCUGGCGGCGUGCCUCAGACAUGCAAGUCGAACGCGAAAGUCCCCUUCGGGGGACAAGUAGAGUGGCGCACGGGUGAGUAACACGUAGGUAAUCUACCUUCGGAUGGGGAAUAACAACCGGAAACGGUUGCUAAUACCGCAUAAUGCAGCGGCACCUAAUGGUGACAGUUGUUAAAGCGGGGGAUUGAAAGACCUCGCGUCUGAAGAGGAGCCUGCGGCGGAUUAGCUUGUGGUAGGGUAACGGCCUACCAAGGCGACGAUCCGUAGCCGGCCUGAGAGGGCGGUCGGGCCACACUGACACUGACAUACGGGUCAGACUCCUACGGGAGGCAGCAGUCGGGAAUUUUGGGCAAUGGGCGAAAGCCUGACCCAGCAACGCCGCGUGAAGGAU